GUUCACUUCAGUAAAACAUAUGUUGAAUUUGGAAUGAUACAGAGAAGAUUAGUAUGGCCCCUGCACAAGGAUGACAUGCAAAUUUGUAAAGUGUUCCACAAAACA
rnacentral:snRNA from 1 species